rnacentral:lncRNA from 1 species
UCCGGGCGCGGCCCCGGGACGCGGCCGCCUGCGGCCCCCAGGCCCAGCACUUCCUCAGCUGCGCCCACAGCGUCACCCGCCAGCAUUCCCGGGAUUCCAGCCCCGAUCCCGGCCGGAAUUCCACACCCGGAGAGAAUCCCUGCAAUUAAAACUCCUCCGGAAAAGCCUCGGAACCUCCCGGAACCUUCUGGAAUUUCCCCUCUGGAAAAGGGAAUCCGGGAUCCCGAAUUUCCGGAACAUUCCUGGAAUUUGGAUCCCAAAAAUUGGAAAAAAAAAAAAAAGAAAAAUAAAAAAAUUCCAGCGGGAAUUUCCCCGGGAAGGGGCCAAAAAUUGGGAUUUUCCUUCUUUGUAUUCCCAAAUUUUCUUCCUUUUUAUUCCCAACUNNNNNNNNNNNNNNNNNNNNCAAUUCCAUCCCAAAAUUCCAUCCCAAAAUUCCAGCUGGAAUUCCAGCACCGGGAUUCCUUUGGAGUUGGAAUUUCGGGAGAAAAACGGGAAAAAAAUUCCAUUUUUAUUCCAUUUUUGUCACCUGGUUCUUGUUCUGUGCCCGAAUUCCAGCUCCAAUUCCAUCCCAAAAUUCCAUCCCAAAAUUCCAGCUGGAAUUCCAACCCUGGAGCUGAUUCCAGGAUUCCUGGGAGUGGGAAUUUUGGGAUAAAAACGGGAAAAAAUUCAAUUUUUACUCCAUUUUUGUCACCUGAUUCCUGCUCUGUGCCUGAAUUCCAGCUCCAAUUCCAUCCCAAAAUUCCAUCCCAAAAUUCCAUCCCAAAAUUCCAUCCCAAAAUUCCAGCUGGAAUUCCAGCCCUGGAGCUGAAUCCAGGAUUCCUGGGAGUGGGAAUUUUGGGAUAAAAAUCGGAAUUUUGGGAUAAAAAUUGGAAUUUUGGGAUAAAAAAAAUCGGAAUUUUGGGAUAAAAAAAUCGGAAUUUUGGGAUAAAAAAAUCAGAAUUUGGGAUAAAAAUUGGAAUUUUGGGAUAAACAUCGGAAUUUUGGGAUAAACAUCGGAAUUUUGGGAUAAACAUCGGAAUUUUGGGAUAAAAAAAUCGGAAUUUUGGGAUAA